UCCCUCUCAGGGUUACACCUGGUGGGUGUCCAGUACUCUACUAGUCUUGACUAUGGGAGGGAAAGUCAAGCAGAGGCAUAUCCAUUCUACUCCUAGCUUGGGCAGUGGCUUGUGAGUGGAAGACAAUCUGCUAUAAGU